GUUGCUACGCGCGUUUCAGCCGCUGUUGUAACGUUGGCUGCGUUGACCCGUCAAUCAUAGCAGGCCUUGGACAGUCUCGAACUCCACUCCCGAUGCACGGGAAGGUGCUCCAAAGACCCAGACGUCCCAGAAUUCGUCCUUCCGGUGAAUCGAAAUUCAAUUUCCCUCUCAAGUUUUGUUGUUGCUCAAUUCCGUCGCCUGCUUGCUUUGAUGCGACUUCGGUUUCUUUUGCUUGUUGUUUGGACGAGCCGAGUACCUAAAAUGUGUGUGUAGGAUUCGGUUGUGUACUUGGAACCACUGGCCUACAUAUUCUGGGUUGCAAGCUUUUCCCUUGGAGCAAAUUUAGCUGACGGGCGUCACGAAGCGGCGCCAGACAUUUAAGGAUAAGAUACAUAGAGAGAGAGAGAAAGAGAGCUGAAAAGAGAGGAUAAGCGAAAAGGCGAGUAGGUACUGGAUUCUCUUCCGGUUCUGCAGAUUAUGGUGAUGAUGGAAUCCGCUGGAAUGCUACCGGUUUUCGGGCGGCUCAAUGGCUUCAGCUCAUCAUCACACGAAAACUGUCACCUUAACCUCUCACUCGAGUCUCUGUUUCAUGAAAUCCAUGAAAAAUACGGAUCAUCACUUCGUUAAACGAAUGUCACCGGUUCGAAACGCACAUUAACAUAAGCUAAUCCCCUGUACGGCACUGCACCUCAGCAGCUCAUUAUCUUCCAAAUCGCUGCAACCUAAUCCGCAACGCGCAAUGAGUCAGGGACGGGAGCACUGCCAGCGCAAGUCAAGUAAACCAGAAGUGACUCAUAUUUACAAGGCCAUUAGCUACCAUGACGUGCAAACCCCGGGGCUGCGCCGACCAUGACCCCUGGGGGGGACGGUUAAGACCGUUCCCCGGGUGCAGCUGCAACUCGUAUGAUGUCGAUCUCUUGCGCGCCGAUUCCAUUUGACCUUCCCGUUUGGUGACUUCCGUGGUAAACAGUUUCCAAUCAUGAUGCACCGCUGGUGCAUUCUUCUGGUAAACAGCGGCUGCGUUCGAGGUCGGUUCGUUUCGCUACGCCCCUGCCCCGUCACAGCCCUCAAUCACCAGAGGCGGCUUGCGUCAGCGAAAUGUGUUCAAGUGCAAGGCGCCACCCGCAGUGUUUGUCAACGGCCCACCGGUCCCGGGGCGAAGCGAAUGGAACGAAAGGUUAUUUGAUCUGUGUUGCUCCGUUUUUGUUUUUUGUUUUUGGCAGAUGUUUGCGAUGCUUUCAGGGUUGCUGGGUUCAAGCUCUUUGCUUUUGAAACAAUGUGUGAAUAGUUAAAUUGUUGGUUUCUGUAAGAAAAGCCGUGGGUGGUAGAGAGACCCAAACAACAGC